UGGGGAAUAUUGGACAAUGGGCGCAAGCCUGAUCCAGCCAUGCCGCGUGAGUGACGAAGGUCUUCGGAUUGUAAAGCUCUUUUGGCGGGGACGAUAAUGACGGUACCCGCAGAAUAAGCCCCGGCUAACUUCGUGCCAGCAGCCGCGGUAAUACGAAGGGGGCUAGCGUUGUUCGGAAUUACUGGGCGUAAAGGGCGUGUAGGCGGCCUGCCAAGUCAGAUGUGAAAGCCCCGGGCUUAACCUGGGAACUGCAUUUGAGACUGGCCGGCUAGAGGUUGGAAGAGGAGAGUGGAAUUCCCAGUGUAGAGGUGAAAUUCGUAGAUAUUGGGAAGAACACCAGUGGCGAAGGCGGCUCUCUGGUCCACACCUGACGCUGAGGCGCGAAAGCGUGGGGAGCAAACAGGAUUAGAUACCCUCGUAGUCCCUGAGCGGGCUGGCAAGGCGCAU
rnacentral:rRNA from 1 species